rnacentral:misc_RNA from 1 species
GCGGAAGCUGCGGCUGGAUCACCUCCUUUCUAGGGAGCCCUUUAUGGGCAGCGAUCGCCUUCGAGCGAUCGCCUCUAGCAUGUCGACCGAACCUGGCGGUACCGCCUUGUGGCGAUACCGGCGGGAGAAAUCCACUCGCUGCGGUGGUGACAUCGUGGCGUUUCGGGUGGAUUUCUCCCAAUGUAAUUCGCGCCAGCGAAUUACACGUGUGCUGUUGAGUUUUGAGAGACCGGCUUGCUCGCCGGCGCUCGUAGACCGUUUGGUCGUCGAGCGAUGGCGGGUGAGCGCUCCUCUUCUCGGACCUUGAAAACUGCACAGUAGCCAAUGACACGGGUAUCGGGCAAUUCGCCUAGCGGCGAAUUGCCUGUGGAGAAAUCCUUGCGGAUUUCUCCGAGUGGGAAGAGUCCGGACUGACCCCGGAGAAAUCGUAAGGUAAACGCCGCCAGGCGGUUGCCCGAUUUCUCCAAGGGAAAAGUCCGCCAGGACUUUUCCCCGAUCACCGUCAAGAUAUUAAGGGCACAC